GCAGGUAUAGCUCAGUGGUAGGGUCCCUGCUUAGCAGGCAUCAGGUCCUGGGUUCAAUCUCAGUACCUCCA
rnacentral:tRNA from 1 species